rnacentral:rRNA from 1 species
AACGAACGCUGGCGGCAUGCCUAACACAUGCAAGUCGAACGAUACCUUCGGGUCUAGUGGCGCACGGGUGCGUAACGCGUGGGAACCUGCCCUUAGGUUCGGAAUAACUCCCCGAAAGGGGUGCUAAUACCGGAUAAUGUCUUCGGACCAAAGAUUUAUCGCCUUUGGAUGGGCCCGCGUUGGAUUAGCUAGUUGGUAGGGUAAAAGCCUACCAAGGCGACGAUCCAUAGCUGGACUGAGAGGAUGAUCAGCCACACUGGGACUGAGACACGGCCCAGACUCCUACGGGAGGCAGCAGUGGGGAAUAUUGGACAAUGGGCGAAAGCCUGAUCCAGCAAUGCCGCGUGAGUGAUGAAGGCCUUAGGGUUGUAAAGCUCUUUUACCCGGGAUGAUAAUGACAGUACCGGGAGAAUAAGCUCCGGCUAACUCCGUG